rnacentral:rRNA from 1 species
UACGUAGGGGGCAAGCGUUGUCCGGAAUCAUUGGGCGUAAAGAGCGUGUAGGCGGCCCGGUAAGUCCGCUGUGAAAGUCCAGGGCUCAACCCUGGGAUGCCGGUGGAUACUGUCGGGCUCGAGUCCGGAAGAGGAGUGUGGAAUUCCUGGUGUAGCGGUGAAAUGCGUAGAUAUCAGGAGGAACACCUGUGGUGUAGACGGCUUACUGGACCGCAACUGACGCUGAAACACGAAAGCGUGGGUAGCAAACAGG